GCACAGACAUUGCUCUGGGUAGGAGAUUGGGGCCAAGACUGUACAACUAGAAGCUCUCCAGCUCUAUCCUUACAAAUAAAAGAAAUGUCAGUAUCACACCAGACACCAAUAAACAAUUUUGCAGCUUCUGCCAAACAUUUUGUUUGAAUGUUUUUUUUAACCCAUUGAGUGUCAGCACUCUCCCCCUGAUGAGUAAAUUGUCUAGUGUUAGACAGUAAAAUAAUCUGGCUUUAG